UACGAAGGGGGCUAGCGUUGCUCGGAAUCACUGGGCGUAAAGCGCACGUAGGCGGAUUGCUAAGUCAGGGGUGAAAUCCUGGAGCUCAACUCCAGAACUGCCUUUGAUACUGGCGAUCUUGAGUCCGGGAGAGGUGAGUGGAACUGCGAGUGUAGAGGUGAAAUUCGUAGAUAUCGGAAGGAACAUCAGUGGCGAAAGCGACUUCCUGGACCAAUACUGACGCUCAUGUGCGAAAGCGUGGGGAGCAAACAGG
rnacentral:rRNA from 1 species